rnacentral:rRNA from 1 species
GACGAACGCUGGCGGCGUGCCUAAUACAUGCAAGUUGAGCGAUGAAGAUUGGUGCUUGCACCAAUUUGAAGAGCAGCGAACGGGUGAGUAACGCGUGGGGAAUCUGCCUUUGAGCGGGGGACAACAUUUGGAAACGAAUGCUAAUACCGCAUAACAACUUUAAACAUAAGUUUUAAGUUUGAAAGAUGCAAUUGCAUCACUCAAAGAUGAUCCCGCGUUGUAUUAGCUAGUUGGUGAGGUAAAGGCUCACCAAGGCGAUGAUACAUAGCCGACCUGAGAGGGUGAUCGGCCACAUUGGGACUGAGACACGGCCCAAAUCCCUACGGGAGGCAGCAGUAGGGAAUCUUCGGCAAUGGACGAAAGUCUGACCGAGCAACGCCGCGUGAGUGAAGAAGGUUUUCGGAUCGUAAAACUCUGUUGGUAGAGAAGAACGUUGGUGAGAGUGGAAAGCUCAUCAAGUGACGGUAACUACCCAGAAAGGGACGGCUAACUACGU